AGUGAACGCUGGCGGUAGGCCUAACACAUGCAAGUCGAACGGCAGCACAGUAAGAGCUUGCUCUUACGGGUGGCGAGUGGCGGACGGGUGAGGAAUACAUCGGAAUCUACUUUUUCGUGGGGGAUAACGUAGGGAAACUUACGCUAAUACCGCAUACGACCUACGGGUGAAAGCAGGGGAUCUUCGGACCUUGCGCGAUUGAAUGAGCCGAUGUCGGAUUAGCUAGUUGGCGGGGUAAAGGCCCACCAAGGCGACGAUCCGUAGCUGGUCUGAGAGGAUGAUCAGCCACACGGGAACGGAGACACGGUCAAGACUCCUACGGGAGGCAGCAGUGGGGAAUAUUGGACAAUGGGCGCAAGCCUGAUCCAGCCAUACCGCGUGGGUGAAGAAGGCCUUCGGGUUGUAAAGCCCUUUUGUUGGGAAAGAAAAGCAGCAGGUUAAUACCCCGCUGUUCUGACGGUACCCAAAGAAUAAGCACCGGCUAACUUCGUG
rnacentral:rRNA from 1 species